rnacentral:rRNA from 1 species
CACUGCCGAGAAAAGCCUCUAGAUAGAAAAUAGGUGCCCGUACCGCAAACCGACACAGGUAGUCAAGAUGAGAAUUCUAAGGUGAGCGAGCGAACUCUCGUUAAGGAACUCGGCAAAAUGACCCCGUAACUUCGGGAGAAGGGGUGCUCUUUAGGGUUAACGCCCAGAAGAGCCGCAGUGAAUAGGCCCAAGCGACUGUUUAUCAAAAACACAGGUCUCUGCUAAACCGUAAGGUGAUGUAUAGGGGCUGACGCCUGCCCGGUGCUGGAAGGUUAAGAGGAGUGGUUAGCUUCUGCGAAGCUACGAAUCGAAGCCCCAGUAAACGGCGGCCGUAACUAUAACGGUCCUAAGGUAGCGAAAUUCCUUGUCGGGUAAGUUCCGACCCGCACGAAAGGCGUAACGAUUUGGGCACUGUCUCAACGAGAGACUCGGUGAAAUCAUAGUACCUGUGAAGAUGCAGGUUACCCGCGACAGGACGGAAA